AUUGAUGUAGACAUGUAAUUUUAUCCCUCUCGAGAGUGUAUUUUUACCUAUUUACCUUAUCCAAUCAUGUACCUUCAAUCACAUGAUAAUUUUUCCACUAGAAAACAAAAUAACAAACCCAAUCACCAAUAUUCUUUUGAUAACAAAAUUAACCACUCCCCUCAAUAAAAUUUUAACAAUAGACAUCACCACACCACCCCUACCCCACAUACCCCCUUACCCCAUGUUUUUUCCACUACACAAUUAGACCCCCAGUGAACGCAUACUACAGACACCAAUAUACGGGAUUCCACACCAUCGACGCAUACACACUGCUCCACUUCACAUAUACACACACUCUACGCACACAUACUCACAUCAUUCUUCUCCAUUCUCUUCUACACAGUAACACACACAGAGAAUUCAUAUUUUAUUUUUUAGCAACACAAACAACACACUCACAAAGAGCUCCACACUACACACACAGAACAAACACACAGACAAUAGAGUUAGAGUAGAGAAAACAGUAGGAUAGAGAGCUGGACGGAGUGAAAGAAAGAGCUGGUCGGAGUGAUUGAUCGGGAGAGAGAGAAAGAAAAUAGAGAACGGAACUAGCUCGGAUUCCGGCGAAGCCUCACCGGAAUACAUCGUCCCGCACUGCCGAACUACCGAAACUCCGAAACCAGCGAAAACACCCCAAAAAUUCGAUCGAAACUAGAUCAAUCCCACGUUCUUCGUACUAUUUGGGUCGACGGAGCUCCGACAGAGCUAUUCGUUGAAUCUGUACAGUUGCUGUUCGUUGAUAUCUUGUUAUUUUGUCCGUCGUUGAAGUUGAGUUGAGGUUCUCGGGACGGCUCUUUAUUUCUUUCAUAAAUCGAUCAAAAAUAUUUGGAAGAUACUGUUGCAGAGAAGGAGACUUGUGGCUGACAGUCACUGCGUGUGGAUUUUGUUGCUAAAGUGAGUCUUCACAUUGUUCGUGGAUUCUGUCAUUCAGCUUUAGUUAUUUUUAGCUUACAUUUCUUUUCGUUGGGUUUGCAUGCCCGAAAGCUAAACUCAUGUAACUUUGUUUAGAUGCUUCAUGGUCUAGUGUGGGCUUUGAGUUGGAGAUUUGUUAUCUAAACUACUGUUGUUUUCGUAAAUCAUUAUGCGAUAUCUUCUUGGAUAA